rnacentral:rRNA from 1 species
UGGUAAGGUAACGGCUUACCAAACCUACGACGGGUAGCUGGUCUGAGAGGACGGUCAGCCACAUUGGGACUGAGACACGGCCCAGACUCCUACGGGAGGCAGCAGCCGGGAAUAUUCGGCAAUGGGCGAAAGCCUGACCGAGCGACACCGCGUGAGCGACGAAGGCCUUCGGGUCGUAAAGCUCUUUUAUUUGGGAAGAAUGCAUAGUAAUAUGUUUGACGGUACCAUUUGAAUAAGCCCCAGCUAACUACGUGCCAGCAGCUGCGGUAAUACGUAGGGGGCAAGCGUUAUCCGGAAUCACUGGGCGUAAAGGGUCCGCAGGUGUCCCGUUAAGUUAGAUGUUAAAUCGCAAGGCUCAACCUUGCGGCUGCAUCUAAUACUGACAGGAUAGAGGAUAGGUGACGGAAGUGGAAUUCCUGGUGGAGAGGUAAAAUCCGUAGAUAUCAGGAGGAACACCCGUGGCGUAGGCGGCUUCCGAACCUAUUCCUGACACUCAGGGACGAAAGCUAGGGGAGCAAACAGGAUUAGAUACCCUGGUAGUCCUAGCUGUAAACGAUGAAUACUAGAUAGUGGAUGCUACACCGUACUCACCGUCGUAGCUAACGCGUUAAGUAUUUCGCCUGGGAACUACGAUCGCAAGUCUGAAACUCAAAGGAAUUGACGGGUCCCCGCACAAGCAGCGAGGCAUGUGGCUUAAUUCGAUGCAACACGAAGAACCUUACCUGGACUUGACAUGUUUCUGAAAGGCCGGAGAAACCCGGUCCCUUCCAGUUUACUGGAACAGUCUCACAGAUGGUGCAUGGUUGUCGUCAGCUCGUGUCGUGAGAUGUAAGGUUAAGUCCUUAAACGAGCGUAACCUUUGUCAUUAGUUGCCACCGGUUCGGCCGAGCACUCUAAUGAGACCGCUAGCGACAAGCUAGAGGAAGAUGGAGAUGACGUCAAAUCCUCACGUCCCUUAUGUCCAGGGCCGCACACAUGCGACAAUGGUAGAGACAGCGGGUUGCGACGGGGUAACCCUGAGCUAAUCCAUAAACUCUGCCUCAGUACAGAUCGAGGGCUGAAAUUCGACCUCGUGAAGAUGGAGUUGCUAGUAAACGCAGGUCAGCUAUACUGCGUUGAAUACGUUCCCGGGGAUUGUACACACCGCCCGUCACACCACCCGAGUCGUGUGCACCCGAAGU